rnacentral:lncRNA from 1 species
AUGCACGCGUCCGUGCAUAUCCCGGGGUCGUGCGAACAUGAAUCCAUGGACACCAGGCCUCUGUCGGUAGCCGCGUGGUGCGAACAAAAGUGCGGGCAUAGUCCACUGCGAGCACAUCCUCGAGGUCGUGCCACAGGAAUACAUGGAAGCCUACGGGUUGGUGCGUGCCGGAAGGUGCAAACACGAGUUUGGGCAUGUGCACGCUCCCGAGGUGGUGCAUACACAGGAAGAUGCACACCCCAGGGGUGUGAGCACACGAGGACGUGCAGGCCCCCGCGGUCAGUCCAUAGGCCCAGCCGGGGGAGGCAGAAGCGCCCAUUUCCCUCCACACUCAGGCCCAGCUGCAGCCUCCGGGCGCCAUCUUCGCCCCGCGGACAGCGGAAGGCCCUGCAGCCAGCGCAGCCCCUGCGCUCGGGCCUUUGUUGUCCCGGCUUCCGGGCGUCCAUCACGCGGAGGCCGCGCGCGCCGGGCCCAGGCGAGGCGCCCGAGCACGAAAUGGCGGCAGGGGGCGGGGCGAGGGGCGGCGCGCCCGGGAGCGGCACCCACUCCCGGCAGGGCGCGCCGCCCGCCCCCUUGCGCAGGCGCACGGCGCGGCGCGCGUUCCCGCGUUGCCUCCGACGCGCGCCAGGACACAAAGGGCUGGAGGGAAAGCACGGAGCGCGGCCGGCGCCUACGGAGCGGCUCGCGGUCCGGAGCGGCCUGGAGCGGACUACCGGCGCCGGAGCCGGGCUCGCCGGAACCGCGCGCUCAGACGCGGGGCGGGGCCUUGUGCGGUGCUCCUUCCCCUCCCCUCGGCCUCCCUCAACGGCUGUAACGGCCUCGCGCGCCGGGGCGGGCCGGACGCGCAGGGCGCAGGCGCGGCCGCUGCGGGGAGGCCUGGGUACCUCCAUUUUUCGUCGCGCGCCCCGAUGGCGGAACUGGGCGCCGUUCCCGGGCGCGGAGGGGAGGGCUGGCCUCCGGGAGAGCCCGAGGCCUUCCCGCCAAGCUCUUUCUUCGGCCCCCGCGUUUCAGCGCGGAAGCAGGGCGGUGGAGCUCCUGAGGAAGUUUCUAGAAUGUGAUGCCCAGAGUUUUUCAUAA